rnacentral:tRNA from 1 species
AAUAUGGUGCCUGAUUAAAAGGAUAGCACUGAUACAGCUAAUCAUGUAGUAUAUAACUUCCCAUAUUA